GAUGAACGCUGACAGAAUGCUUAACACAUGCAAGUCGAUGGGGAAGUGGUGCUUGCACCAUGGUAACCAUGGCGGACGGGUGAGUAACGCGUAAGGAACUUGCCUGCGGGACUGGGAUAACAGCAGGAAACUGCUGAUAAUACCGGAUAAGGUCAUUAAGCUGCAUAGCUUAGUGAUGAAAGGAGACGCCUGCGGAGAGCCUUGCGUCCUAUUAGCUAGUUGGAGGGGUAACGGCCCACCAAGGCGAAGAUAGGUAGCCGGCCUGAGAGGGUGGACGGCCACAAGGGGACUGAGAUACGGCCCUUACUCCUGCGGGAGGCAGCAGUGGGGAAUAUUGGACAAUGGGGGCAACCCUGAUCCAGCAAUUCUGUGUGCACGAAGACGGUUUUCGGAUUGUAAAGUGCUUUCAGCAGGGAAGAAGGAAGUGACGGUACCUGCAGAAGAAGCGACGGCUAAAUACGUG
rnacentral:rRNA from 1 species